GUAGGUGGCAAGCGUUGUCCGGAAUUAUUGGGCGUAAAGCGCGCGCAGGCGGUUUUUUAAGUCUGAUGUGAAAGCCCACAGCUCAAUCGUGGAGGGUCAUUGGAAACUGGAGAACUUGAGUACAGAAGAGGAAAGCGGAAUUCCACGUGUAGCGGUGAAAUGCGUAGAGAUGUGGAGGAACACCAGUGGCGAAGGCGGCUUUCUGGUCUGUAACUGACGCUGAGGCGCGAAAGCGUGGGGAGCAAACAGGAUUAGAUACCCUGGUAGUCCACGCCGUAAACGAUGAGUGCUAAGUGUUAGGGGGGUUUCCGCCCCCCUUAGUGCUGCAGCUAACGCAUUAAGCACUCCGCCUGGGAGUACGGCCGCAAGGCUG
rnacentral:rRNA from 1 species